GGCACUAUGGCCGAGUGGUUAAGGCGACAGUCUUGAAAUGUGUUGGGCUCUGCCCGCGCUGGUUCAAAUCCUGCUGGUGUCG
rnacentral:tRNA from 1 species